GCUUACGGCCACACCUCCCUGAGCACAGCCCGAUCUCGUCUGAUCUCAGAACUAAGCAGGGUCGGGCCCGGUUAGUAGUUGGAUGGGAGACCGCCUUGGAAUACCAGUGCUGUAAGCC
rnacentral:rRNA from 1 species